rnacentral:rRNA from 1 species
UGGGGAAUAUUGGACAAUGGGGGCAACCCUGAUCCAGCGAUGCCGCGUGGGUGAAGAAGGCCUUCGGGUUGUAAAGCCCUUUAGGUUGGGAAGAAGUGUAAGCGGUGAAUACCCGCUUACAUUGACGGUACCGACAGAAUAAGCACCGGCAAACUCUGUGCCAGCAGCCGCGGUAAUACAGAGGGUGCGAGCGUUAAUCGGAAUUACUGGGCGUAAAGGGCGCGUAGGCGGUAUUGUAUGUGUGAUGUGAAAGCCCCGGGCUUAACCUGGGAAGCGCGUCGCAAACUGCGAUACUGGAGUAUAUGAGAGGGUGGCGGAAUUUCCGGUGUAGCGGUGAAAUGCGUAGAGAUCGGAAGGAACGUCAAUGGCGAAGGCAGCCACCUGGCAUAAUACUGACGCUGAGGCGCGAAAGCGUGGGGAGCGAACAGG